UACGUAGGGGGCAAGCGUUGUCCGGAAUCAUUGGGCGUAAAGCGCGUGUAGGCGGCUUGGUAAGUCUGCUCUGAAAGCCCGGGGCUCAACCCCGGGAGGCGGGUGGAUACUGUCAAGCUCGAGUCCGGAAGAGGAGUGUGGAAUCCUGGUGUAGCGGUGAAAUGCGCAGAUAUCAGGAGGAACACCGGUGGCGAAGGCGG
rnacentral:rRNA from 1 species